rnacentral:rRNA from 1 species
GACGAACGCUGGCGGCGUGCCUAAUACAUGCAAGUAGAACGCUUAAGGAGGAGCUUGCUCUUCUGGAUGAGUUGCGAACGGGUGAGUAACGCGUAGGUAACCUGCCUGGUAGCGGGGGAUAACUAUUGGAAACGAUAGCUAAUACCGCAUAACAGUAGAUGUUGCAUGACAUUUACUUAAAAGGUGCAAUUGCAUCACUACCAGAUGGACCUGCGUUGUAUUAGCUAGUUGGUGGGGUAACGGCUCACCAAGGCGACGAUACAUAGCCGACCUGAGAGGGUGAUCGGCCACACUGGGACUGAGACACGGCCCAGACUCCUACGGGAGGCAGCAGUAGGGAAUCUUCGGCAAUGGACGGAAGUCUGACCGAGCAACGCCGCGUGAGUGAAGAAGGUUUUCGGAUCGUAAAGCUCUGUUGUAAGAGAAGAACGAGUGUGAGAGUGGAAAGUUCACACUGUGACGGUAUCUUACCAGAAAGGGACGGCUAACUACGUG